rnacentral:rRNA from 1 species
AUUGAACGCUGGCGGCAUGCUUUACACAUGCAAGUCGAACGGUAACAGGGAGCUUGCUCCGCUGACGAGUGGCGAACGGGUGAGUAAUAUAUCGGAACGUACCCAAGAGUGGGGGAUAACGUAGCGAAAGUUACGCUAAUACCGCAUACGAUCUAAGGAUGAAAGCAGGGGACCUUCGGGCCUUGUGCUCCUGGAGCGGCCGAUAUCUGAUUAGCUAGUUGGUGAGGUAAAGGCUCACCAAGGCGACGAUCAGUAGCUGGUCUGAGAGGACGACCAGCCACACUGGAACUGAGACACGGUCCAGACUCCUACGGGAGGCAGCAGUGGGGAAUUUUGGACAAUGGGCGAAAGCCUGAUCCAGCAAUGCCGCGUGAGUGAAGAAGGCCUUCGGGUUGUAAAGCUCUUUUGUCAGGGAAGAAAAGGGAUUGGCUAAUAUCCAGUCCUAAUGACGGUACCUGAAGAAUAAGCACCGGCUAACUACGUG